AUUGAACGCUGGCGGCAUGCUUUACACAUGCAAGUCGAACGGUAACAGGCCGCAAGGUGCUGACGAGUGGCGAACGGGUGAGUAAUGCAUCGGAACGUGCCCAGUCGUGGGGGAUAACGCAGCGAAAGCUGCGCUAAUACCGCAUACGAUCUAUGAAUGAAAGCGGGGGACCGUAAGGCCUCGCGCGAUUGGAGCGGCCGAUGUCAGAUUAGGUAGUUGGUGGGAUAAAGGCUCACCAAGCCAACGAUCUGUAGCUGGUCUGAGAGGACGACCAGCCACACUGGGACUGAGACACGGCCCAGACUCCUACGGGAGGCAGCAGUGGGGAAUUUUGGACAAUGGGCGCAAGCCUGAUCCAGCAAUGCCGCGUGCAGGAAGAAGGCCUUCGGGUUGUAAACUGCUUUUGUACGGAACGAAACGGUCCGGGUUAAUACCCUGGGCUAAUGACGGUACCGUAAGAAUAAGCACCGGCUAACUACGUGCCAGCCGCCGCGGUAAAAC
rnacentral:rRNA from 1 species